AGUGAACGCUGGCGGUAGGCCUAACACAUGCAAGUCGAACGGCAGCACAGGAGAGCUUGCUCUCUGGGUGGCGAGUGGCGGACGGGUGAGGAAUACAUCGGAAUCUACUUUUUCGUGGGGGAUAACGUAGGGAAACUUACGCUAAUACCGCAUACGCCCUACGGGUGAAAGCAGGGGAUAUUCGGACCUUGCGCGAUUGAAUGAGCCGAUGUCGGAUUAGCUAGUUGGCGGGGUAAAGGCCCACCAAGGCGACGAUCCGUAGCUGGCCUGAGAGGAUGAUCAGCCACACUGGAACUGAGACACGGUCCAGACUCCUACGGGAGGCAGCAGUGGGAAAUAUUGGACAAUGGGCGCAAGCCUGAUCCAGCCAUACCGCGUGGGUGAAGAAGGCCUUCGGGUUGUAAAGCCCUUUUGUUGGGAAAGAAAUCCAUCUGGUUAAUACCCGGGUGGGAUGACGGUACCCAAAGAAUAAGCACCGGCUAACUUCGUGCCAGCAGCCGCCGUAA
rnacentral:rRNA from 1 species